UGCCGGCAACUUGAUCUUGGACUUCCCAGCCUCCAGGAUUGAAGAAAAAUAUGUUGCAAACAUGGAGGAAAGAUGAUGGCCUCCUUCAACAGAACUAUGAGUUGUCCAAGAUUUCACAAAGUUCUUCAAGCAUGGCAUUUGAUGAUAUCUACUUAAGCAGAUACAUGGAAGCUUUAAUAGACUGCAAUAUGCUGAGAAGCAACAAACAGUGGAAGACCAUUAAUUCAUCUUGCAGUCUUCCCUUGGGUACUUCAAGAUAUAUGAGCAAAUGGCUUAUAGAGCCAAUAAAGGUACCAAUGCAUGCACCAAAUAUUAGUAAAGCUUAACUUAAGCAUAAAUACAGCUUGAAUAUUUUCUUUUCAUAUCCAAAUGUACUUAUUUGCAUACCUCCUAUUAUGCCAGCGCCCCUCUUUGGAGACCACCACUUCAUGCAAUGGGGAGUGACAUUAGGGCUGAACUUUAAGAAAGAGAACUCUGACAGUAAUGAGAAGACAGAAAAAGAGAAUGACCAGAUAUCCAAAAUGGGAUCGUAGCAUCGAACAUGAGAAGGCCAUGCAUAAGAUGGGGUAGGUCCAAUCAACAAAAUUUGAAAAAAGGUCAGCUUUGGAGUGGUCUGAAAAGGGAGACAAAGGAGGAGACAGAAUUCUGGAUGAUUUCACGGUAACAAUCCUGAGUGACUUGGAGGAUAUAAUAGUAUUAACUAAAAAGGAAAAUGCACAAGACAGCAAUUUGAGGGAAGGACAUUUAGAUGAAGAGAUCCUUGAGAAAUACAUGCAUUUAAAAGACAAGUGGGAGAGAAACUAAUGAAGGAGCUGAAAAUGGCCAAUGACACUGGAAAAGAACGACGACAGUAAAGUGUCCUAGUAGCCAAGGGAAGAGAGAAAGCACUUUUUAAAGGAUGAGAUGAUCACUUGUGUCAACUUCUGUCAAUAAUUAAAGGAGACAAGGGACAAGAUGACAUCCGUGGAUAUGGCAAAUAGCCAAUAAUAAUGAAAGCUAGCAUCACAUCUGCUGCAUGCUUGUCACAUGCCAGGCACACCACUUCAAGAGUUGUACAAGUAAGAACCCAUUUCAUCCCCAAGAACCCUAGGACGUAAGUGUGACUAGCAUCCCCAUUUUGGUGCUCAGCCUCUCGAGUAGCUGGGCUUACAGGCAUGCGCCACCAGGCCCAGCUAAUUUUUGUAUUUUUAGUAGAGACGGGGUUUCACCAUGUUGGCCAGGCUGAUCUCGAACUCCUGACCUCAGGUGAUCCACCUGCCUUGGCCUCCCUUGUACAAGUAAGAACCCACUUCAUCCCCAAGAUGAACGUUAAGUGUGACUAGCAUCCCCAUUUUGGUUCAUCCCCAAUUUCAUUUCAUCCCCAAGAACCAUAGGACAUAAGUGUGACUAGCAUCCCCAUUUUGGUAACCAACAAGAAAAUUAAAUCCAUAAUAAGGAAGAGGCAGAACCCAAAGUGGAUGGGGCUGAGGACAAAUGAAAGGUGAGAAAGAAUAAUCUGCCUAUAAAUGAACAGAGGUAUAAGAAAACAGAACAGCAGCUGCAGGUAAAAAUGGUUUUGUUUGUUUGUUUGUUUUGUGUUUUUUUGGUUGUUGUUGUUUUUUUUUUUUUUUUUUUUGAGAUGGAGUUUCACUCUUGUUGCUCAGGCUAGAGAGCAAUGGCUUGAUCUUGGCUCACUGCAACCUCCGCCUGCCGGGUUCAAGCGAUUCUUCUCCCUUAGCCUCCCAAGUAGCUGGGAUUAUAGGCAUGCACCACCACGCCCGGCUAAUUUUUGUAUUUUCAGUAGAGAUGGAGUUUCUCCAUGUUGGUCAGGCUAGUCUUGAACUGCUGACCUCAGGUGAUACACCCGCCUCAGCCUCCCAAAGUGCUGGGAUUACAGGUGUGAGCCACCGCACCCAGCUUGAUUUUUAAGACAGAAACUAUUUGAGCAUUUAAGCGUUUACCAACUGAAGAGACAGAAUCUAGGUCUGCCCCAUAGAAAAAAAAAUCUCUGGUGCUACUGGGAAAAGUCACGAAGACAGAGGUAUGAUGUCAAAGAGUCCAGAAAGUAGACAGAGAAAGAAAUACAGUAGAGAAUAGCAUAGUGUCACCAAACAAUAGUGUCACAGCACCAUGGACUGACUGACUCUGACAGUGAGAAAACUAAAAAAGAGGGACUGAGAAAGAGUAAGAUCUGAGAGGAAUCAGACAGAAAUAGUAGCUGUGUAGCAGUCUCGGAGUUCCUUCCAUCCCAAAACAAGGGUGCGAUGAGCGACAGCAGUUCAGUACAGGCUGCAAAAGGCUGAAUGAGGUGUUCGCAUGACUUGCUGCACGGGAGACUAGAAAACCUGGCAAAAGGUAGAGUCCAGGGCUGAAGACAGCAGAUGUCCAGGGCCUACUCAACCUAUAGGAAAAGCACUGGGUGAUCUUCCCCUGCUUUUUGGUAGCGCCCUGCUUCCUCCCGAGUUCCACCGGAGGUCAGAGAACACAGUUUCAGGUUUCACACUAUAUACUUAUUUCAGAAGCAUGCAGAGUUAUGCAGAAAAAAGGACACUCAAAGAGCAGUAGAACAGACAAGUUACUGCAACCACUUUAGCUGCACAGGUUGGCUACUUCUCUACACAGCUUGGGAGCUCAUGCAUAGCCCGGAGGGAGAAGUGAUUGCUAGAGAACAAAAAAAUUAGUAACUGAGUCAUACGGGGAAAAUUUCUGGAUAAAAAUUUUAAUUGGCUAGGUGGAUCCUUAGACUGGUAGACUUUGUGGAUUUAGCUGCAAAGUGUAUUUAAAGGAGUGUUAAAAAGUAACAACUGUUGUUUUAGAUAUUUUACAAUUUAUAUUUCUAGGAUAAAAACACUAAGAACUCUUUUCCAUAAACACCUCUAUUGCAACCAUUAUGGUAAAAUUAAAAAAUAAUCAAUAUUUUAAAAUGAAUUAUAUACAUGCAAUAGAGGUAUUUCCUUUGAGCAAUUUAUAUCCUACUUAGAUUAAUCAUAAAAACCAAGGUCGCAAAAUUAAAGAAUUGUUCUAAUUUUUAAAAUUUAAAUUCAAAGCAUAAAUCUACAUGAAAAUCACGUAAAAUCAAGAGAACAGGUAGGGCAUGGUGGCUCACACUUGUAAUCCCAGUACUUUGGGAGGCCAAGGCAGGUGGAUCAUUUGAGGUCAGGAGUUCGAGACCAGCCUGGCCAACAUGGUGAAACCUCGUCUCUACUAAAAAUGCAAAAAUUAGCUGGGCAUGGUGGCACACAUCUGUAGUCCCAGCUACUUAGGAGGCUGAGACAGGAGAAUCGCUUGAACCCAGGAGGUGGAGGCUGCAGCAAGCCGAGAUUGCGCCACUGCACUCCAGCCUGGGUGAAACUGUGAGACCUUCUCAAAAAAAAAAAAAAAAAAGAUAAAAAAAUAAAAAUCAAGAAAACAGAAGUAAUUUCUAGAAAAACACUAGUUUCUUUUAAGGUUUUUUUUUUUUAAUAAUUACAGAAAGAUUAUAAACUGAAUGGAAAAGACUUGGGUUCAGUGUCAGCCGAUAAUUAUUUACAGGAUCCUAAACAAUCAAUUCCCUCUUUAGGACUCAAUCUGUUCAAUACAGAUGAGUGACGACCUGAACUAGAUACAAAGUACAUCAAAACCAUAGCUUUACAAAUGCAGACAGUCAAUUUUCUAGAACAAAAACAGGAUUCUAUUUAGCUGGGUGGUGAGGAAUACUCAUAGCACUUAUAAUUUAUUAAUUUAAAAAUCCAUAUUAAUUGUUAUUAAGAAUAAAAAAUAUUACUUAGGUUUCACAUACUAAGUAAAAGCUUUAGAUCUUCAUUAGGUUUAAGAUCAUCUAAUUAUAAUGAGGAUAGAGUGUAGGACAUUUUUCCCAGUAUUUUCUAAAUCUGUUUAAAAAAUGCUUACAGAGGACCAGUGCGGCAGCUCAUGCCUAUAAUCCCAACACUUUGAGAGGCUGAGGCAGGAGGACUGCUUCAGGGCCAAGAGUUCAAGACCAACCUGGCCAACAUAGUGAGACUCUGUCAUUAUUUUUUUAAAAAAAGAAAAAUGCUUACAGAAAUGUAUCAAAUUCAGUACCUCUACUUCAAAUUUGUAGAAGGCCUGUUAUUUUUUCUUUACAUUACUAAUACCAUCAUUUCUUUUUUUUUUUAUUUUUUAUUUUUUUAUUUUUAUUUAUUUUUUUUUGAGACGGAGUCUCGCUCUGUCACCCAGGCUGGAGCGCAGUGGCGCGAUCUCGGCUCACUGCAAGCUCCGCCUCCUGGGUUCACGCCAUUCUCAUGCCUCAGCCUCCCAAGUAGCUGGGACUACAAGCGCCCGCCACCACAUCCGGCUAAUUUUUUUGUAUUUUUAGUAGAGACGGGGUUUCACCGUGUUAGCCAGGAUGGUCUCGAUCUCAUGACCUCGUGAUCUGCCCGCCUCGGCCUCCCAAAGUGCUGGGAUUACAGGCGUGAGCCACUGCGCCCGGCCCUACCAUCAUUUCUUAAUAAACCAUAUUCUUUUAACACCUUGCUUAGAGAACAGUACCAUUUAAUUAUCACCAUUCCUUCCAGAAUAUUUGAAAGAGAUGCUGCAAUGCUUUUAAGUUUUAACAAGAUUUGUCGAUCUCCAGAGAGUCUGCACAUAUGCAGCAUUGUUAUUAAAAAUGCCAGGGAAGUCCAGGCACAGUGGCUCAUGUCUGUAAUCCCAGCACUUUGGGAGGCCAGGGCGGGCAGAUUGCUUGAGCUCAGGAGUUCAAGACCAGUCUGGGCAACAUGGCAAAAUCCCAUCGCUACAAAAAAUACAAAAAAACUAGCUGGACAGUGUGGUGGCAGGUGCCUGUAGUCCCAGCUACUUGGGAGGCUGAGGCAGGAGGAUCACCUGAGCUCAGAGAGUCGAGAUGGCAGUGAGCCAUGACUGUGCCACUGCACUCCCGCCUAGGCAGCCCUGUCUAAAACAAAAUAAAAUAAAACAAAACAAAACAAAAUAAUGCCAGGGAGACACUCAUUCCAAGAGGUAUCACUGUAAAUUUCAUCAAGUUUUGCUAAGCAGGCCACUAAUAACAAACAAAAAACCCACCUUGUUUAAAUCCCAUUUUAUAUUCACCCUUCCUCUCCUCAAACUCUGAAUUCCUACAAAAUUAAAUUAUGUCCUCUAGUUUACAAUGUGGACGUGGAGGAAGAAAACUAAAGAAGGGCAACAGAGAGAGCCUUGCACCAAGACCACAACCACUCCAGGGGGUGGGAUUAUAUCCAUUCCACACAGGAGGAAUCGGAAGCUUUGAGAGCUGACGUAAAACUGGUAAACGGUGAAACCAGGAUUCAAACCCAAUUCUACCUGGCUGCCAAAACCACACAUUGCUUUCCCCAGUUCACAGGCUAUCACAGCAUCAGCAGCAAUCAAGGUAGAAAACCUAAUCGAAUAUCACAAAAAUAGGAACCCAUCUGUGAUGAGAAAACUUACAGAUCUCGGACUGCAAACUGAAAAUGCCUACAGGGCCAAGGCAAGUAAUAUAAAAUGAAGGGAAUUCAACGGGACUGGGAACAGGAGACCAUGUGUAUGUAUCAUCUACGGAGGCAGCUGCUGCUUCACUUCAUGCAGGAAUGUGGGCCUGGUGUUGCCAGAUUUUGUGCUUCUUUUCAAGAGACACUGGAAAUAAUCUUAUUAUUUCAUACUGACAAUUAAUUUUUAAAAAUUAAACACACCACUGAUCAAACAAUAUAAAUCUGUAGACCACUAGUAUCCAUCCCUUAGAACUGCCAGUUUUCAACCUCCAGUAUUCUGGGGGCACUACUAUCAUUUCUAAUAGAAACAGAAAUACAAAGACAAGUAUGGAACCCAAGGGGCAAAGAGACACAGGUCUGAGAACAGCCGGAAGAUUAUAAAAACUAGAUGAAUCAUAUCCAUUUAAGCCAAGAUGAAAUUAGUCACUAACUAUAUAUUUCAUUCCCAGGGUUUUAGUUUUCUAUUUCCCAAAGAAAGAGCAAGGCUGCAAAAGAGAAGAUUGGGUUGGGGGAGGGGAGGAACAAUAUAGCUAAUGAUGAAAUGAUACAUAAAUGGUAAGAUGAUUUUAAUGCUCAGGCAAAACCCGCUCUUAACUGAGUCAGUCAACCACCAGUUACAGAAACUUGAAGAUAUCACUAAUUCUGAACAAGAUUAAUUUGGGUGGGUAGAAUUAGUCAUUUCGUUAUUAGUCCUUAAUUUUAGCCAUCAAAGCAUAGCCAAGGGAAAGUAAGCAUAUCAGUGUGGUUACAUUUCAAGCAAGAUCUUGAAAUUAAGACAAAUAUUUAGUAUGUUCAAGAGAUUUUGACAAAUAUUACUUAAGCCAAAGACACAAAUGAGAACAUACUCAAUAUAGCUAACUCUUCCCAUCUCUCUAUGCAUCCUCUGUCUGUUGCAUUUCCAAAGAAAUAUCUUUGUGAAUAAAUUCAGAAACAUUUUAGCUGCAAACACAACAGAAUCUCCAAAAGUACACACUGACCUAAGGCUGAAAAGAGUUUUCAUUUAACAGGUGAGUGGAGAUUUUUUUAAGCUAUGGAAAUGAUUACAUUUUUUAAACAUUUUCCCAAACUUUUUGAGGUUGCAAGACAAUUAUUUUUACCUGUGUUUUUUCUGCAGCAGUCUUCUCACUGAAUGACAGGGCCAUCUGAUACACUCCAUACCAUUAUAGGCAUGCAAACCCUUGAUACGGAUCCCACCACAUAGUACUAAAUCACCCUCUGUCAUAUUUAUGUAAUUUUUUAAAGUAGCUACAAGUUGUCUUAAGGACUGUUCUCUCUAUCCUAUGUACUUCCCACAAAGCAGACUCACAAAUUCAACAAAUCAACAUUUCCAUAUAAAUCUUGUUUUUGACUCCAGAACAUCACAGUCGGCUCUGUAAACAUUACACAGGAAUUAAACACAAAAUUUUCCUUUUUCCUUAGUUUAGAAAGACUUGGAUUCAACAAGAGCCUCCAUUCUCCCCUUAUUGCAAUCACCAUGUGAAAAGAAGGUAAUUUGCAUUUGGUUCAUUAUCCUUAAAAGGAAGCAAUUUUCAAAGAGGUGGAAAGAUCGUUUUUUUGUUUUGUUUUGUUUUGUUUUGUUUCAACUCCUAAGGAAAUCCUUCACUCUGGUGGCACGGGUUUUCCACAUGCAAAAUGCAAGUGCAGUCAUAAACUGAAAUUUUUUCUGAAAUGGAUUUACUAGGGAAAGUUACAAACUUAACAAGAUGUCACAUCUCUGCCUCAGACCAAUCCACUCAACAGUACCUAGUUAAGGUGUCAGAGGCUCUUUACUUUAGCAAAAAGAAGCUAAAUUUUUUUUAUUUGCUUGCUAAUUAGGGGUUUCUGUGACUACCCAAAGAUGCACAAAGAAAUAAAGGUUUUGCUUUUAUCUAAAGAAACGGAGUAAGGAGAGAAUACUAUCAUAACAGCAUGGGUUGAGCACGAAAGGAUACCCAUUUACUAGAUGACAAAAAUCUUCACCAAGUUACUUAGCUUCCAAGUUACUUAGUGCUUUUCCCUUAUCUUGGAAAUGUCAGUUUACUGGCCUGAAUUAGGUGUUUCAUUUUGUCUUUUUAAAAGCUAUGUUAUUAAUCACUGGAAGCCAAAAUGAUUUACUUUGGUAAAGGUACCCUAUAGGGGUAAGAAAAAAAAGUUACAAUUACAAUUUUACCAUCCAAAGUGCAACAACUUUUCUUAGAAUAGGGAAAAAGAUUUCUACUCUCUGCUAAUAAUAAACUUUAAAUGUAUAUUUUUUAGAGCACUUGGAGAAAAAGGCAUUUUACAUUUGCAGAAGCUCCGCUCAUGGGGUCGAAAUGCAUGCUGCCUCUACCACACUAUAACCGACGAGCUUUUAUUUAAAAGUGUCCCUAAACUAGAACUUUCCACAGCUGAAAACUAAUUGAACAUAUUUCUUUCAAAUCCGAACACACCAGUGAAAAAGGCCUUGCUCACGAAAACAAACACCUUAAGGGCCCAGAGCCAAAUGGGCAAGAUGAAAACGUUUUUGCAGGAAAUAUUCACAGGUUGAGUUGUUCACACAGGUCUGCAAGCAGGUGAAAGAGCAAGCCGCAAAAAGAGCUGCAAAACUGGAAAACAGCACAAGGGUGGCCCAAGGUAAGCAAGCACCAAGGCAACCAGGUAUUCUGUGCCAGCUGAGGACCACAGGUGUCUUGCUAAAGAAUUUAGAGAAGAAAAACUACAUGUGUUUAUAGCUUUAUAUUUAAGCUAUAAUAGACAGAGUCUACCUCUACCAGCACACUGCCAGUUUCAGAAGUCAGCGACGUCAGAAAAGGAGUGAAGGUUAGCCCUGAAAGAACAGAAAAGCAGCAAACUUUUCAGAAGUUAAAAUGGGGACACCCCAUACAAAUGGGUAGAAGUAUCCCAGUAUGGCCUGCACUACAAAGAGAAAAAUUAAAACACACCUUUUUCAAAACCUCAAAGAAAACUCCAAGCCUUAUUUGAAACACAGAAGGACAUCAGUACAACAUUACUAACAAAUCUCUAACAGUCAGCAAGAAAUGAAAUAAAAACUAAUUAAAUUCA